rnacentral:rRNA from 1 species
AUUGAACGCUGGCGGCGUGCUUAACACAUGCAAGUCGAGCGGUAAGGCUCCUUCGGGAGUACACGAGCGGCGAACGGGUGAGUAACACGUGAGCAAUCUGCCCUUCACAUGGGAAUAACUUCGGGAAACCGAAGCUAAUACCGAAUACGACCACCGAUGGCAUCUUCUGGUGGUGGAAAGUUCCGGCGGUGAAGGAUGAGCUCGCGGCCUAUCAGCUUGUUGGGAGGUAAUGGCCCACCAAGGCGACGACGGGUAGCCGGCCUGAGAGGGUGACCGGCCACACUGGGACUGAGACACGGCCCAGACUCCUACGGGAGGCAGCAGUGGGGAAUCUUGCGCAAUGGGCGAAAGCCUGACGCAGCGACGCCGCGUGAGGGAUGACGGCCUGGUGU